AUUGAACGCUGGCGGCAUGCUUUACACAUGCAAGUCGAACGGUAACAGGCCUUCGGGUGCUGACGAGUGGCGAACGGGUGCGUAAUGCAUCGGAACGUGCCCAGAGGUGGGGGAUAACGCAGCGAAAGCUGUGCUAAUACCGCAUGUGAUCUGAGGAUGAAAGCGGGGGACCAGGCAGCAAUGUUUGGCCUCGCGCCUUUGGAGCGGCCGAUGUCAGAUUAGGUAGUUGGUGGGGUAAAGGCCUACCAAGCCGACGAUCUGUAGCUGGUCUGAGAGGACGACCAGCCACACUGGGACUGAGACACGGCCCAGACUCCUACGGGAGGCAGCAGUAGGGAAUUUUGGACAAAGGGCGCAAGCCUGAUCCAGCAAUGCCGCGUGCGGGAAGAAGGCCUUCGGGUUGUAAACCGCUGUUGUACGGAACGAAAAGGCUCUGGCUAAUACCUGGGGCUGAUGACGGUACCGUAAGAAUAAGCACCGGCUAACUACGUG
rnacentral:rRNA from 1 species